rnacentral:rRNA from 1 species
GUGGGGAAUAUUGGACAAUGGGCGCAAGCCUGAUCCAGCAAUGCCGCGUGGGUGAAGAAGGUCUUCGGAUCGUAAAGCCCUUUCGACAGGGACGAUGAUGACGGUACCUGUAGAAGAAGCCCCGGCUAACUUCGUGCCAGCAGCCGCGGUAAUACGAAGGGGGCUAGCGUUACUCGGAAUUACUGGGCGUAAAGGGCGCGUAGGCGGCUCUGUUAGUCAGGCGUGAAAUUCCUGGGCUUAACCUGGGGACUGCGCUUGAUACUGCAGGGCUUGAGGCCGAGAGAGGGUGGUGGAAUUCCCAGUGUAGAGGUGAAAUUCGUAGAUAUUGGGAAGAACACCGGUGGCGAAGGCGACCACCUGGCUCGGUUCUGACGCUGAGGCGCGAAAGUGUGGGGAGCAAACAGGAUUAGAUACCCUAGUAGUCC